rnacentral:tRNA from 1 species
GGAGAGAUGUCCGAGUGGUUGAAGGAGCACGCCUGGAAAGUGUGUAUACGGCAACGUAUCGAGGGUUCGAAUCCCUCUCUCUCCGCCA